AUCGAUAAACAUUCACAGCCAUAUAAGUUUCUUCGCAGCAUCCGAUGCUGCGAUAUAUUUCACCUCGUAAACUGAGUCAGCCAUAAUGUGCUACUUAAACUUUUUCAUUAGAUUGGUCCAUUGGUUAGGGUAAAGAUAUAUCCCGACAUACUUUUCUAUCGUCAUGAUCUGACUGAAAAUUAGAGUCUGUAAACCCCACUAGUUUCAAAUCAGAUUCUCUAUAAAUCAGCUACUGAUCUUUAGUAUUUC
rnacentral:lncRNA from 1 species